AAUGAACGCUGGCGGCAUGCCUAACACAUGCAAGUCGAACGAAGGCUUCGGCCUUAGUGGCGCACGGGUGCGUAACGCGUGGGAAUCUGCCCUCAGGUUCGGAAUAACAGCGAGAAAUUGCUGCUAAUACCGGAUGAUAUCGCGAGAUCAAAGAUUUAUCGCCUGAGGAUGAGCCCGCGUAGGAUUAGCUAGUUGGUGUGGUAAAGGCGCACCAAGGCGACGAUCCUUAGCUGGUCUGAGAGGAUGAUCAGCCACACUGGGACUGAGACACGGCCCAGACUCCUACGGGAGGCAGCAGUGGGGAAUAUUGGACAAUGGGCGAAAGCCUGAUCCAGCAAUGCCGCGUGAGUGAUGAAGGCCUUAGGGUUGUAAAGCUCUUUUACCCGGGAUGAUAAUGACAGUACCGUAAGAAUAAGCACCGGCUAACUACGUGCCAGCCGCCGCAGUAA
rnacentral:rRNA from 1 species